rnacentral:rRNA from 1 species
CACAAUAAAAUAUGAAGGCUGUACGCGGCUGUGCUCUCGGGCCAGUUUUGCGGAGGCUGAAUUAUUUAUUACCCUUGUCUUUUGCGCACUUGUUGUUUCCUGGGCGGGUUCGCCCGCCACCAGGACCACAUCAUAAACCUUUUUUAUGCAGUUGCAAUCAGCGUCAGUAUAACAAAUGUAAAUCAUUUACAACUUUCAACAACGGAUCUCUUGGUUCUGGCAUCGAUGAAGAACGCAGCGAAAUGCGAUACGUAGUGUGAAUUGCAGAAUUCAGUGAAUCAUCGAAUCUUUGAACGCACAUUGCGCCCUUUGGUAUUCCAAAGGGCAUGCCUGUUCGAGCGUCAUUUGUACCCUCAAGCUUUGCUUGGUGUUGGGCGUUUUUUGUCUUUGGUUGCCAAAGACUCGCCUUAAAAGGAUUGGCAGCCGGCCUACUGGUUUCGCAGCGCAGCACAUUUUUGCGCUUGCAAUCAGCAAAAGAGGACGGCAAUCCAUCAAGACUCCUUCUCACGUUUGACCUCGGAUCAG